rnacentral:rRNA from 1 species
GAAGUAAAGUCGUACAGGUUCGUAGUGAACUGCGGAGGAUCAUC